GACGAACGCUGGCGGCGUGCUUAACACAUGCAAGUCGAACGGAAAGGCCCUGCUUUUGUGGGGUGCUCGAGUGGCGAACGGGUGAGUAACACGUGAGUAACCUGCCCUUGACUUUGGGAUAACUUCAGGAAACUGGGGCUAAUACCGGAUAGGAGCUCCUGCUGCAUGGUGGGGGUUGGAAAGUUUCGGCGGUUGGGGAUGGACUCGCGGCUUAUCAGCUUGUUGGUGGGGGAGUGGCUGACCAAGGCUUUGACGGGUAGCCGGCCUGAGAGGGUGACCGGCCACAUUGGGACUGCGAUACGGCCCAGACUCCUACGGGAGGCAGCAGUGGGGAAUAUUGCACAAUGGGCGGAAGCCUGAUGCAGCAACGCCGCGUGCGGGAUGACGGCCUUCGGGUUGUAAACCGCUUUCGCCUGUGACGAAGCGUGAGUGACGGUAAUGGGUAAAGAAGCACCGGCUAACUACGUG
rnacentral:rRNA from 1 species